GGGGUGCAGAAAGCGCCGGGAAUUCGCGGGGCUGGGCUCCAGCGGAAGACGACCUGAGCGCGGCGGGCCUGGAGUUCUAGGAAACUGCUCAAAGACCUCAUGCGAGUGGAACUCACAGCUUCCUGGAUCCGGCUCAGCAUUCAGAUAUCAAAGCAGACUGCAAUACCUGUGCGGAAAUAGAGGACAGAAAGGUAAGUCGA